GAUGAACGCUGGCGGCGUGCUUAACACAUGCAAGUCGAACGAGAAGUGGAGACGGAAACCUUCGGGCGGAAGACUUUAUUUCGAGUGGCGGACGGGUGAGUAACGCGUGGGUAACCUGCCUCAUACAGGGGGAUAACAGUUGGAAACGACUGUUAAUACCGCAUAAGACCACAGCACCGCAUGGUGCGGGGGUAAAAACUCCGGUGGGAUGAGAUGGACCCGCGUUCGAUUAGCCAGUUGGCGGGGUAACGGCCCACCAAAGCGACGAUCGAUAGCCGAGCUGAGAGAAUGCCCGACCACAUUGGGACUAAGACACAGCCCAAAAUCCUACGGGAGGCAGCAGUGGGGAAUAUUGCACAAUGGGGGAAGCCCUGAUGCAGCGACGCCGGGUAAGUGAAGAAGUAUUUCGGUAUGUAAAGCUCUAUCAGCAGGGAAGAGAAUGACGGUACCUGAGAAAGAAGCCCCGGCUAACUACGUG
rnacentral:rRNA from 1 species